AGACACCUUCGUUUUCUUUUUUCUUUUGGCCGUGCCAUGCAGCAUGUGGCAUCCUUAGUUCCCUGAGCAGGGAUCGAACCCGUGUCCCCUGCAGUGGAAGCAUGGAAACCAGUGGACCACCAGGGAAGUCCAAUGCCUCACUUCUUAAGUGUUUCGCAAGAUGUGGCCCCCAGACCACCUGCCUCUCAUGGGCUGAAAGUGCCUGUAAGAAAUGAAGCUUCUCUAAAUGCAGUGUGGAAUCCUGGAACAGAUAAAGAACAUUAGUGGAAAAUCUGGUGAAAUCCAAAUGAAGUCCGGAGUUAACAGUAAGUGAAUCAAUCACAGGAUCAGCAGGAGGACCUAUGAAGUAUA